rnacentral:rRNA from 1 species
GAUGAACGCUAGCUACAGGCUUAACACAUGCAAGUCGCGGGGCAGCAUUUCUUUAGCUUGCUAAGGAAGAUGGCGACCGGCGCACGGGUGAGUAACGCGUAUCCAACCUGCCCUUGUCCACGGGAUAACCCGGUGAAAACCGGCCUAAUACCGUAUGAGGUCACAAGCGGACAUCCAACUGUGACGAAAGGUUUAGCGGACAAGGAUGGGGAUGCGUCCGAUUAGCUUGACGGCGGGUAACGGCCCACCGUGGCUACGAUCGGUAGGGGUUCUGAGAGGAAGGUCCCCCACAUUGGAACUGAGACACGGUCCAAAACUCCUACGGGAGGCAGCAGUGAGGAAUAUUGGUCAAUGGACGGGAGUCUGAACCAGCCAAGUAGCGUGCAGGAUGACGGCCCUAUGGGUUGUAAACUGCUUUUGUGCGGGGAUAAAAGUGUGGGACGCGUCCCAUAUUGCAGGUACCGCAUGAAUAAGGACCGGCUAAA